rnacentral:rRNA from 1 species
UACGUAGGGUGCGAGCGUUGUCCGGAAUCACCGGGCGUAAAGGGCGCGUCGGUGGCCGAGCAAGGUUGCGGUGAAAGCCCGUGGCUCAACCCCGGGUCGGCCGUGGCAACUACUCGGCUUGAGCACUGUAGGGGCGGGUGGAAUUCCGGGUGUAGCGGUGGAAUGCGUAGAGAUCCGGAAGAACACCGGUGGCGAAGGCGGCCCGCUGGGCAGGAAGGCUCGCAAGAGCCGGCUGACACUGAGGCGCGACAGCGUGGGGAGCAAACAGG